UACGAAGGGGGCUAGCGUUGUUCGGAUUUACUGGGCGUAAAGCGCACGUAGGCGGGUCUUUAAGUCAGGGGUGAAAUCCUGGAGCUCAACUCCAGAACUGCCUUUGAUACUGAAGAUCUUGAGUUCGGGAGAGGUGAGUGGAACUGCGAGUGUAGAGGUGAAAUUCGUAGAUAUUCGCAAGAACACCAGUGGCGAAGGCGGCUCACUGGCCCGAUACUGACGCUGAGGCACGAAAGCGUGGGGAGCAAACAGG
rnacentral:rRNA from 1 species